rnacentral:rRNA from 1 species
UACGUAGGGCGCGAGCGUUGUCCGGAUUUACUGGGCGUAAAGAGCGCGCAGGCGGUCGUACAAGUCGCGUGUGAAAGCCCCCGGCUCAACUGGGGAGGGUCACGCGAUACUGUUCGACUCGAAGGCAGGAGAGGGAAGCGGAAUUCCCGGUGUAGUGGUGAAAUGCGUAGAUAUCGGGAGGAACACCAGUGGCGAAGGCGGCUUCCUGGCCUGUUCUUGACGCUGAGGCGCGAAAGCUAGGGUAGCAAACGGG